rnacentral:rRNA from 1 species
CCUACGGGUGGCAGCAGUGAGGACUAUUGGUCAAUGGGCGCGAGCCUGAACCAGCCAAGUAGCGUGAAGGAUGACUGCCCUAUGGGUUGUAAACUUCUUUUAUCAAGGACUAAAGUUCGGCACGUCUACUUUUUUGUAUGUACUUUCUGAAUCAGGAUCGGCUAACUCCGUGCCAGCAGCCGCGGUACUACGGAGGAUCCGAGCGUUAUCCGUAUUUAUUGGGUUUAAAGGGAGCGUAGGCGGGUUCUUAAGUCAGUUGUGAAAGUUUGCGGCUCAACCGUAAAAUUGCAAUUGAUACUGGCAGUCUUGAGUGCAGUUGAGGUAGGCGGAAUUCGUGGUGUAGCGGUGAAAUGCUUAGAUAUCACGAAGAACUCCGAUUGCGAAGGCAGCUUACUAAACUGUCACUGACAUUGAUGCUCGAAAGUGUGGGUAUCAAACAGGAUUAGAUACCCUUGUAGUC